rnacentral:rRNA from 1 species
GACGAACGCUGGCGGCGUGCCUAAUACAUGCAAGUAGAACGCUGAAGAGAGGAGCUUACUCUUCUUGGAUGAGUUGCGAACGGGUGAGUAACGCGUAGGUAACCUGCCUUGUAGCGGGGGAUAACUAUUGGAAACGAUAGCUAAUACCGCAUAACAAUGGAUGACACAUGUCAUUUAUUUGAAAGGGGCAAUUGCUCCACUACAAGAUGGACCUGCGUUGUCUUAGCUAGUAGGUGAGGUAAUGGCUCACCUAGGCGACGAUACAUAGCCGACCUGAGAGGAGGAUCAGCCCAACUGGAACUGAGACACGGUCCAGACUCCUACGGGAGGCAGCAGUGGGGAAUAUUGGACAAUGGGCGCAAGCCUGAUCCAGCCAUACCGCGUGGGUGAAGAAGGCCUUCGGGUUGUAAAGCCCUUUUGUUGGGAAAGAAAAGCAGCAGGUUAAUACCCCGCUGUUCUGACGGUACCCAAAGAAUAAGCACCGGCUAACUUCGUG